CCUACGGGUGGCUGCAGUGGGGAAUAUUGGACAAUGGGGGCAACCCUGAUCCAGCCAUGCCGCGUGUGUGAAGAAGGCCCUCGGGUUGUAAAGCACUUUCAGUGAGGAAGAACGCCUGGUGGUUAAUACCCAUCAGGAAAGACAUCACUCACAGAAGAAGCACCGGCUAACUCCGUGCCAGCAGCCGCGGUAAUACGGAGGGUGCGAGCGUUAAUCGGAAUUACUGGGCGUAAAGCGCGCGUAGGUGGCUUGAUAAGCCGGUUGUGAAAGCCCCGGGCUCAACCUGGGAACGGCAUCCGGAACUGUCAAGCUAGAGUGCAGGAGAGGAAGGUAGAAUUCCCGGUGUAGCGGUGAAAUGCGUAGAGAUCGGGAGGAAUACCAGUGGUGAAGGCGGCCUUCUGGACUGACACUGACACUGAGGUGCGAAAGCGUGGGUAGCAAACAGGAUUAGAUACCCUAGUAGUC
rnacentral:rRNA from 1 species